UCAAAAAAACCAGUUUAAUUCUUAUUCAAUUUGUGUUUGUGACAAUUAAUUUUACAACUAAUCAAUUUACAGAUAAUAUGUGUUGUAACGAUCAAAAUCAAACCGUCGUUAAUCACAUUCACAGUUUACGUUUAUUAAAGU